rnacentral:rRNA from 1 species
GACGAACGCUGGCGGCGUGCUUAACACAUGCAAGUCGAACGGAAAGGCCUGCUUUCCCUUGUGGAUUGCGGGUACUCGAGUGGCGAACGGGUGAGUAACACGUGAGUGAUCUGCCCCCAACUUGGGUAUAAGCCUGGGAAACUGGGUCUAAUUCCCGAUAGGACUGCAGGGUGGUGCCUAUGGUGGAAAACGAUUUUCUAGUGGUUGGGGAUGAGCUCGCGGCCUAUCAGCUUGUUGGUGGGGUAAUGGCCUACCAAGGCGGCGACGGGUAGCCGGCCUGAGAGGGUGGACGGCCACAUUGGGACUGAGAUACGGCCCAGACUCCUACGAGAGGCAGCAGUGGGGAAUAUUGCACAAUGGGCGGAAGCCUGAUGCAGCGACGCCGCGUGGGGGAUGACGGCCUUCGGGUGGUAAACUCCUUUCGACCGCGAGGAAGCCACCUGGUUGGAAGGGUGGUGACGGUAGUGGUAGAAGAAGCACCGGCUAACUACGUG